GCAGUCGAGCGGAACCUUGGAGCUUGCUCCAGUGGUUUAGCGGCGGACGGGUGAGUAACACGUGGGCAACCUGCCCUGCCUGNGGGAUAACUCCGGGAAACCGGUGCUAAUACCGAAUAGUUUGCGGCCUCUCAUGAGGCUGCACGGAAAGACGGUUUCGGCUGUCACUGCAGGAUGGGCCCGCGGCGCAUUAGCUAGUUGGUGAGGUAACGGCUCACCAAGGCCACGAUGCGUAGCCGACCUGAGAGGGUGAUCGGCCACACUGGGACUGAGACACGGCCCAGACUCCUACGGGAGGCAGCAGUAGGGAAUCUUCCGCAAUGGACGAAAGUCUGACGGAGCAACGCCGCGUGAGUGAAGAAGGUUUUCGGAUCGUAAAACUCUGUUGUGAGGGAAGAACAAGUACCAAUUAACUACUGGUACCUUGACGGUACCUCACC
rnacentral:rRNA from 1 species